rnacentral:rRNA from 1 species
CGAAAGCCUGAUGCAGCGACGCCGCGUGAGGGAUGACGGCCUUCGGGUUGUAAACCUCUUUCAGCAGGGAAGAAGCGAAAGUGACGGUACCUGCAGAAGAAGCGCCGGCUAACUACGUGCCAGCAGCCGCGGUAAUACGUAGGGCGCGAGCGUUGUCCGGAAUUAUUGGGCGUAAAGAGCUCGUAGGCGGUCUGUCGCGUCGGAUGUGAAAAACCCGAGGCUCAACCUCGGGCCUGCAGUGGGUACGGGCAGACUAGAGUGCGGUAGGGGAGAUUGGAAUUCCUGGUGUAGCGGUGGAAUGCGCAGAUAUCAGGAGGAACACCGAUGGCGAAGGCAGAUCUCUGGGCCGUAACUGACGCUGAGGAGCGAAAGGGUGGGGAGCAAACAGGCUUAGAUACCCUGGUAGUCCACCCCGUAAACGUUGGGAACUAGUUGUGGGGUCCAUUCCACGGAUUCCGUGACGCAGCUAACGCAUUAAGUUCCCCGCCUGGGGAGUACGGCCGCAAGGCUA